CGUUUUCUGUGGGCGGGCCCGGGGCGCCUUCCCGUCAGUGAGGCGCUGAAGUUAGUGACUGCAACGAAUGUGACCUCUUAAAACUCCUGUACCACAGCAGAGUCAGAUGUAUUAAACAGCCUCUGUUUACGGUGCCUGACUGCCCCCCAGGACGCACGCAAUGAGAUCCAACCGCACCUCUGGUUGGCAGGUUCAGAAAUCAUGGCACACCACACUUGUCAUUAACCAGAGGAGGUGGCCAGCAUCGUGUAAAGAUGGAUGAGAGCUGGGAAACGUGUGCUACAUUCCAUGACUGUUUCUAGUAAAAGCUGCUUUAGA
rnacentral:lncRNA from 1 species